UAAAAUCUUUAAAAAAAAAAGAAUGGCCAAACUCUCAAACGCUGACUCUUCACUGACGGCAUGAAAUGCUGGCUGAUACGCUCUUGUUCGUUGCUGGUGGGAAUGCAAAAUAGUACAGCCACUUUGUACACAGUUUGACUUUUUUUUUCAAUUCUUUUUCCCCCCAGCUUUAUUGAGAUGUAAUUGACAUAUAAUAUUGUGUAAGUGUAAGAUGCAGGUUAACAUUUUCUUACAAAAGUAAAUAAACAUGCUGUUGGCAAAUGAUCCAGGAGUCACACUUGUUGGUAUUUACCCAAAGGAGUGGAAAAGUUAUGGACAUCAAUGUUAUGGCAUCUUUCCUUAUAAUUGCCAAAACUUAGGAGCAGCCAAGAUAUCCUUUAGAGAGUGAUGGUACUUGUACUUUGGUAUGUGUAAAUAAUGGAAUAUUAUUCAGCUCUAAAAAGAAAUGAGCAAUCAAGCCACGGAAACACAUGGAAGAAUCUUAAAUGCAUAUUACUAAGUAAAAGAAGCUAACCUGGUAUGUAAAUUCUACUUCAGUAAACAGCUUUUAAAAUGGCUUAGAUAGAAAAAAAGUUUGAAAAAAUGAAUAAGAGGUUGAAAUGUUAGGAGAUAUUUCUUGGUCACAGUGCUGUAAGUAGUUUUUCAUUUCUUUUUUGCGGGUUCUUGGGUUUCCCAGACGUAAUAAAAUGAUCACAUAUUACCUACCUAGUAAGAUCUUUUAAUACUUGUGACAGUCAGUGACUGCGCCCCCUGCUGGUUCUUGGGUUUCCCAGACGUAAUAAAAUGAUCACAUAUUACCUACCUAGUAAGAUCUUUUAAUACUUGUGACAAUCAGUGACUGCGCCCCCUGCUGGUGAGAGGACGGACACACACACACACACACACACACACACACACGAGACAAUCAGCGACUGCGCCCCCUGCUGGUGAGAGCGCGCGCACACCCGCUGCGCACGAUGCCGCCCCCUUCCCCCCCGCCCCACCCCAGGCUCAGGGCCCAGGCUCCCAAGCCUUACAGCACGUCUCCGGAGCUUUCUAAUUAGUGUUCUGUGGGGUUUGGGGGUUUUAUUUCCUUUGCCAGGCUGAACAGUCAAAAGAAGAGCAGAAGCAAGGUUUGAAUGCAGAGAAACUGAUGCGGCAGGUCUCCAAGGACGUGUGCCGGCUCCGGGAGCAGAGCCGCAAGGUGCCUCGGCAGGUGCAGUCCUUCAGGGAGAAGAUUGCCUACUUUACCAGAGCGAAGAUAAGCAUCCCGUCCCUGCCGGCUGAUGAUGUGUGAUUACACCCCCCAAAGAAAUUAUUCUGUCACCUGUUCACUUCUUAGGGAGGGUACAAGACUGAACUUUUGUUUUGUUUUGUUUUGUUUUGUUUUGGGGAGGGGGGUUCUUUUUGUAACGUAACUGUCAACUCUUAAAGAGCUUUUAUUUCACAUCAGAUUUUCAACAUGUUAAUUUGUAAAGUACCUUGAAUGUAAUUCUUGUAUGUUUAAAAAAAGAAAAAAAAAAAGUCAGAUAACCCAAAUGGAAUAAUCUGGUACACAAAUGUCGUCCAGUACAAACGAAUUGCCAGGAGGCUGUGUUUUGUACAAAUGGAAUCGGGGCAACGCCUGGUGUGUAUCCUGUUGAACCAACUGUUGAGAAAUAACUCGGUUUAGCAGACGGCGAUCUUGGCUUUUCCUUCAUUGUCUCACGGGCAGACUGUGAGGAUGGCAACGGGCCAGCUUGCUAUCUUUGUACCAGGGGGCAGCUCUUAGCGUUUGAAGGCAAAUGUGAGUCCAGCUCCAAGUCCACCCGGAACAGGUGUUGUGCGCUCACCCGGUGACCUCUGUUGGAGCACUUGCUUCCUUAAAACAAGUUCCUUUUUGUCCUUUUCUUUUAGUCUAAAGAAAACCAGAUGCUGAGUGAGAUCUCAGAACACAGAGGAGCAGUGCUCCCGGCUACAGUGAAGACCUUGUGAUCUGUCACAUUAGGGCGGGGGGUGGGGGGCGGAGGAGAAAGCCAGGUACCCUAACCACACUCGAGUCAGCUCCUCAGCGAGCACGACCGGGAUUUGCAGACGCGUCCCGGGGAGGUUCUGUCCGAGGUCUGAACGUGGUGCCCAGGACAAGCCCGGGGCAGCCGGCCCUCUGAGGACAGACAGCCCCGUGGAGGGAAACGCAUGAGCGCUUCUUUGGGGACACAGGAAUCUUGACUGGAUCCAAGUGGCCAAAAAAUUUUUUUAAAAAAACUUUAUUAAACAGAUUUCUCACAUUCACUAGAGAUUAUUUGCAGCUCUCAUGUUGAGGGGCUUCCCCUCUGUAAUCUGUGGUAAGGAGGCCAAGAGAAGAGUGUGCCUGGGGAGAUUAUCAAUUUGAAGUAUGGGCCAAGGCAUUUGUCUCAGAAAACAAUUCUAGAUGAACUAAAUGAAGAGAGAGGAAUGGACUCAAGUGUCCUCUGCGUCCCCAGCCGGGCACAGCUUAAAAGAAAGAGAUCCACCGUGUAGCUCUGCCGGCAUAAAGGCUUUUAAAAUGAAGAGUAUUAUGCAAUUUAAAUCCUACUUAUCAUUCAGUCAGUUACAGUGGAAGAGGCGAUUUUUGGUUAGCCAUCUUCUGUAGUGAAAUCAUUUUUUUUUUAGAAAUGCAAAAAUCACCUUCAAGGAAUAGACCCCUUAAAAAAAAAAAAAAAGGGUAAGUUCUAUUUCUAAGAUAGAAUCCCCAGCAAGGAUUUUUAGUUUUUUGAAAGUAAUUAUCCCUAUUUUGCAAAGUUCAUUUUAUCAGCAUCGAAAUUCAAAUUAAGCAAUUUCUGAGCCUGGAACUUUAAUUAUUUUUUCCUCAGUUGUCCCACCACUUAUAUCUAAAUGUCUCUGAAGCUAUAGCUGGAUGUGACACGACUUUGAACAAAACCCAGCCUUGUGAAUUGACUGCACACAGUCCUUCAAGGCCGCGCGGUUCAUUCUAUCAGAUGACUAAGGAGAACUAGAAAGAAUACCAUUCAUCCUUGUCAAGGUCAAAUGUGAAAGACAGAGGUUUAUUUAAUGUAGAGCUAAAUGAAGGUCAGCUGUUUUCAGCUUCUUAGUUCGACCGUGAAAAUGUUUAUAGAAUUAUGUGUAGUUGUGCCGUACGAUUUUAUUUUCUUCAUUUAUUUAUUUACGGUCUUAUUUAUGUUCUGUUUAAUAUAUAGUUCGGUUCUGGCCAUUUUAAAUGUUUGACAUAGAAGAGGCUAUAUUGGAAUAUCUACACCUUUAUAAAUCUUCAUCAGAUUCGCUGUUAACUUUUUGUAAUACAAAAAGUUUCAGACAAGUAUAAAAGAAUAAAAUCUGUCUCAGGCUGGUAGUUAACAGUUGUGACCAAGACACGUUGGGUUUUAUUUUACAAAAUUUCCUCAUUUCUAACAUGAGAAACGAACUUAUUUUAAUAUAAUCCUUUUCCACACUUUAAAAAUCAGCAAUAGUGUUAUGUAUUUAUAGGCAGCUUUUAACAAUUCUGUCAUAUUUGUACUAACCCAAAUGAUUCACAGUGACAAAACAUCUUAAUAACUUGAUCACAAAACCAUAUGAACAAUACAAAUUUUAAUAUUAUAAAUACUAUUUUUUAAAGGUAGAAUUUAUUCUGCACAGGGUAAAAAGAAUGUAAUAUUUAGUUCUCAAGUUUGAAUUAUCAGUAUGUUAUUAUAAUUUUGUAUAUCAGAAUCUAAGUUACAGGUACAAAAAAAAAAUAUUGCUAGCCAAAUGAACAAAGUUUAGCUGAAUCUCUGUAGCAUGCAAAUCAAAUUUAAAAUCUUUUUUUUUUGCUAUUACUUUAUAUUGUAUUAAAUAUCAAAAGCUCAGGACUGAACUAAAUAUUUAAUCAGGUUAAAUUCUGAAUAUGUUUCUGUUUUAAUUGUCUCGUCUGUAAAAGUAUGCAAAUACAUCACAUAGAUUAACUUUG